AGAGUUUGAUCCUGGCUCAGAACGAACGCUGGCGGCGUGCUUAACACAUGCAAGUCGAGUGCGCGUACCGUAGCAAUACGGUAUGGCGCACGGCGCACGGGUGCGUAACACGUGGGCAAUCUGCCCUUCGAUGGGGAAUAACUCCGGGAAACCGGAGCUAAUUCCGCAUAACAUUCCUUGGACUUCGGUUCGAGGACUCAAAGCCGUAAGGCGUCGAAGGAGGAGCCCGCGCCCGAUUAGCUAGUUGGUAGGGUAACGGCCUACCAAGGCUUUGAUCGGUAGCUGGUCUGAGAGGAUGGCCAGCCACACUGGAACUGAGACACGGUCCAGACUCCUACGGGAGGCAGCAGUGGGGAAUCUUGCGCAAUGGGCGAAAGCCUGACGCAGCGACGCCGCGUGGGGGAUGAAGCAUUUCGGUGUGUAAACCCCUUUCGACUGGGACGAAUGCCUCGCAAGAGGAGUGACGGUACCAGUAGAAGAAGCCCCGGCUAACUACGUGCCAGCAGCCGCGGUAAGACGUAGGGGGCCAGCGUUGUUCGGAAUUACUGGGUGUAAAGGGUUCGUAGGCGGUGUGGCAAGUCGGGAGUGGAAUCUAUGGGCUUAACCCAUAGGCUGCUUCCGAAACUGCUGUGCUUGAGUGUGGGAGAGGCGCGUGGAAUUGCAGGUGUAGCGGUGAAAUGCGUAGAUAUCUGCAGGAACACCCGUGGCGAAAGCGGCGCGCUGGACCACAACUGACGCUGAGGAACGAAAGCUAGGGGAGCAAACAGGAUUAGAUACCCUGGUAGUCCUAGCCCUAAACGAUCAGGACUUGGGGUGCCGCACGUUCGUGCGUCGUCCCGGAGCUAACGCGUUAAGUCCUGCACCUGGGGAGUACGGUCGCAAGACUGAAACUCAAAGGAAUUGACGG
rnacentral:rRNA from 1 species